UACGUAGGGUGCAAGCGUUAAUCGGAAUUACUGGGCGUAAAGCGUGCGCAGGCGGUGAUGUAAGACAGAUGUGAAAUCCCCGGGCUCAACCUGGGACCUGCAUUUGUGACUGCAUCGCUAGAGUACGGUAGAGGGGGAUGGAAUUCCGCGUGUAGCAGUGAAAUGCGUAGAGAUGUGGAGGAACACCGAUGGCGAAGGCAGCCCCCUGGGUCAAGAUUGACGCUCAUGCACGAAAGCGUGGGGAGCAAACAGG
rnacentral:rRNA from 1 species